CAUUUGUCCCAGCAUCACAAAUCGUGCAUAUCAGAAGAGUAAAAACUGUACAAGUGAGAAGGAUUCGCAUCUUUAAUUGCUGCGUGAAAAAGUUAUGUCAUGGCGUUUCUCGUAGAACCACUGUUUCAAUCUUAAAUUCAACGGUCGUCAAGAAAAAUCCAUCAACUUCAGGGAGCUCUGGUAAGUCGACGGGGAUAAUACAUGAUUAUGUAGAAUCCAAAUCAACAGAUGUAAUUGAUUAUAAUUCGAUUGUAUCCGGCCCUGACGAAGCUACUAGCAAAGGCACUGACAUGUCUAUGAGUUUUUCCAUGCCUGAUAAACAACUACCGAAAACGCAAAAAUUUUGACCAUGAUUGAUUCAUCGUCAAGUGUCUCAGUUUUUGGCGCUGAGACACCUUCUGUUGGACUAGGACCUACCGAGACACGCUCAAACACUUUAUUAGAAUUACUUUUGAGUUCUACUAACGUUAUGAGGGUUGUGAGCGAGUCCACGCCACUCAAAAUAACUGCUGAUGUUACUGUCCCACCAAUGACUACCGAGCUGAUAACAUCAACUCCAAUAUCGAUCAACGAGGCGAGCGUUACCGCGUCAUC